AUGGCCAUCUUCGAUGAGUUCUAUGUUGGGUCCAUCGACCUCGGCCGCCUCAACUAUGGGAUAAUCUCGCUCAUCCCGAAGGUUCUGGGUGCCUCCGACAUCCGCCUGUUUUGUCCAAUCACGGUCGUCAACGUGAUCUUAUGGAUUCUGGCUAAAGGGUACGCCAAUAGGGUGACCCUCCUCGCUGACCACGUUACCCACCCCAACCAGUCAGCCUUCAUUCAGGGGCGGUACAUCCUGGAUGGGGUGCUUGUUCUUCAUGAAGUCCUCCAUGAGGUCCGAUCUAAACACCUCAAGGCGGUUUUCUUGAAGAUUGAUUUCCAUAAGGCCUAUGACACUGUUAGUUGGACCUUCCUUCGGGAAGUUCUGCUCCGGAAGGGCUUCGACGACCGAUGGAUCACCAGAGUUAUGCAGAUGGUCUCAUGCGGUCGCACCACCGUGAACAUCAAUGGGGAGAUCGCCCCUUACUUCCCCACACUCUGUGGGGUUAGACAGGGUGAUCCCUUCUCCCCUUUCUUGUUCAAUAUUGUGGUGGACGCGCUUGCCGCCAUCCUGGAUAAGGUUAAGUCUGCUGGCCACAUUCAUGGGAUCACUCUCCACCUAGCUAGCCGCACUGGGAUCUCCCUCCUCUAG
rnacentral:rRNA from 1 species